UGCCUUACCUGGCAGGGGAGACACCAUGAUCAGGCAGGUGGUUUUCCCAGGGCGAGGCUCCUCCUUUGCACUGCAGAUGUGCUGACCCCUGCAAUUUCCCCAAAUGCGGGAAACUCGACUGUGUAAUUUGUGGCAGUGGGGGAGGGACUGCGUUCAUGCUCUCCCCUU